rnacentral:rRNA from 1 species
GACGAACGCUGGCGGCGUGCCUAAUACAUGCAAGUUGAGCGAUGAAGAUUGGUGCUUGCACCAAUUUGAAGAGCAGCGAACGGGUGAGUAACGCGUGGGGAAUCUGCCUUUGAGCGGGGGACAACAUUUGGAAACGAAUGCUAAUACCGCAUAACAACUUUAAACAUAAGUUUUAAGUUUGAAAGAUGCAAUUGCAUCACUCAAAGAUGAUCCCGCGUUGUAUUAGCUAGUUGGUGAGGUAAAGGCUCACCAAGGCGAUGAUACAUAGCCGACCUGAGAGGGUGAUCGGCCACAUUGGGACUGAGACACGGCCCAAACUCCUACGGGAGGCAGCAGUAGGGAAUCUUCGGCAAUGGACGAAAGUCUGACCGAGCAACGCCGCGGGAGUGAAGAAGGUUUUCGGAUCGUAAAACUCUGUUGGUAGAGAAGAACGUUGGUGAGAGUGGAAAGCUCAUCAAGUGACGGUAACUACCCAGAAAGGGACGGCUAACUACGUG